rnacentral:rRNA from 1 species
GAUGAACGCUGGCGGCGUGCCUAAUACAUGCAAGUCGAGCGAACGGACGAGAAGCUUGCUUCUCUGAUGUUAGCGGCGGACGGGUGAGUAACACGUGGAUAACCUACCUAUAAGACUGGGAUAACUUCGGGAAACCGGAGCUAAUACCGGAUAAUAUUUUGAACCGCAUGGUUCUAAAGUGAAAGACGGUCUUGCUGUCACUUAUAGAUGGAUCCGCGCUGCAUUAGCUAGUUGGUAAGGUAACGGCUUACCAAGGCAACGAUGCAUAGCCGACCUGAGGGGGUGAUCGGCCCCACUGGAACUGAGACACGGUCCAGACUCCUACGGGAGGCAGCAGUAGGGAAUCUUCCGCAAUGGGCGAAAGCCUGACGGAGCAACGCCGCGUGAGUGAUGAAGGUCUUCGGAUCGUAAAACUCUGUUAUUAGGGAAGAACAUAUGUGUAAGUAACUGUGCACAUCUUGACGGUACCUAAUCAGAAAGCCACGGCUAACUACGUG